rnacentral:lncRNA from 1 species
CGAGGUGCGACAUCUUUCUACCUCGGUGAACGAGAUUGGCACUAAAGAGUCUUGUUCUUGUCUCGCUGCAUGUCAGCGACCAGCCAGGAAGGGGGAGGGGGGUGAACACUCCCGCGCUCGCUCCAGCCCGCAACAUCAAGUAGUUUCGUUACUACAAGCAACAAAAAAAACCGACUCCUAGCCAGGUUAUUCUUCUUCUCGGCAUUUUUCAUCGGUAUUUUUUUCGCGAGAAAGGAAGCCGGUAAAUUGACGCCUAUAUGAUUCAAGUUCAGGGGCGCGAUGGUUUCAGAGUUUCAGUCGGUGAGUGCGAGCGGCGGCGUUUAGGACGAACUUUGGCGAUUUGCCCAAUGACCCACGUGCUCUUCCUAGUCACUGGAACUAGUGUUUUUGGAAUUAGCAAGGAUGAAAAGUGUGGUGAUAGUGCUUAUCAGUGGUUUGAUAUGUCAAGUUUUCGCCUCGUUUCCGUUCCUCGUAGCGCCGCGGUCGGCCGGUGUGUCCAAAAAGUGCAGGAUCCAAAGUGAAAUCUACGCGCAAUCUUUGGCUAAUUUGACUCAAUGGGCCGUCAAAAUGUACGACGCCUCAGCGAAGCUCCCUCACGGGGUGAUAGUGGGCAACAACUAUCAGUUGGGGAAUUUCGACGAGUGCAUCAGAGCGCACGUGGACCUAGGCCCGGUCCAGGGCGGGACACUCGAUGGCCAGUAAUGCCUCCUCCACUUCCAGUUGGGAACCGACGACCCCUGGCAUCCGCCCAGAUUUGACCUCGAGACGGACCCCUUCGAGUCCGUUUGGAAUAAAUUGAAGGUGAGCUCAUUGUCUCUUAAAGGUCCUACUCACCAUAUCGCUCAUACCAAAUGAAUCAGUGAGAACGAAAACACGUACACCAACUCGGUAACACAAAAAUGCUCAAUUUCCAUUAAAGACAGUUAGUUUACCUGAAGGUCAUUGAAGUUAGCGCAUCUGUUCCAACUUUGACCUUUAAAGAGUCCAUAAGUACUUGUCUCUCGCCAGCAAAAAUAUUUUUCUUAAACUAACUUCUUCACCUACUGUGCAGUUUUGUGUAUGUCUUGAUUAUUUUCAUUUUCCCGAGUUAGUGUGUUUUCGUUCUCACUGAUUCAAAUGAGGGGCUUGGAGGACAAGGCGCAUAAGUGCAGUUUUUGAAAAAAAUUGAGACAUUAAUUAUUUCAAUUAAACCUAUAUUUCAUGCUAAUUCGCUGUUACAAAUUCGCCCCCAAAUUCCAAUUUAUAAGCAUCAAAAGUCAGUUUGAACUUUCUUUCUGCCAUAGGGAUCCAUGUAAUUUCGAAACUUCAAACACGUAUUUCUCGAAAUAUCAAAAACUGCACAUAUGCGCCUUGCCGUUCAAAUCCCUCAAACGGACUUCAUUUUGUCGUGGAGAAUUUGCACUUUAUAAGUUUUUUAUUGCUUCAUUUGAAAGUGCUCAAAGAGCUGAUACCGCAGUUUUAUUUAUAUUUU